CCGAGUGAGGGUCCCCUCGCGGGGCCCAACCUCCCACCCGUGUCUACUGUACCCUGUUGCUUCGGCGGGUCGACCCCCCUUCCGGGGGCGCCUGCCCGCCGGAGACCCCCAACAUGAACACUGUACGAGAGUAUUGCAGUCUGAGUGGAUUGAUACCAAUCAGUUA
rnacentral:misc_RNA from 1 species